CCUGCCAAAAUGACUGUGAUCGUUCCUGAGACGGUUCUCUCAGUCGAUGACGAAGACAACAUCCCCACCAUUGAAAACGAGAAUGUGAAGGAGCAAGCAGGAGAAGAAGAAGAAGAAGAUCGAAGAAUGUGAUGUUCUAAAGCAAUUUGCCAUCCCAGAAACCAAUGCUUUUGGCCAUUCCUUCAGGGAUUACCAGAAAGAGAGCAUGAGAAAAGAAGUUGUUGAGGAUUUUUACAGAAAGAAUCACAUCUACUACCAAACCUA